ACAGGGGGAUAACAGUUGGAAACGGCUGCUAAUACGCAUAAGCGCACAGUACCGCAUGGUACAGUGUGAAAAACUCCGGUGGUGUGAGAUGGACCCGCGUCUGAUUAGCUAGUUGGCAGGGCAACGGCCUACCAAGGCGACGAUCAGUAGCCGACCUGAGAGGGUGACCGGCCACAUUGGGACUGAGACACGGCCCAAACUCCUACGGGAGGCAGCAGUGGGGAAUAUUGCACAAUGGGGGAAACCCUGAUGCAGCGACGCCGCGUGAGCGAAGAAGUAUUUCGGUAUGUAAAGCUCUAUCAGCAGGGAAGAAGAAAUGACGGUACCUGACUAAGAAGCACCGGCUAAAUACGUGCCAGCAGCCGCGGUAAUACGUAUGGUGCAAGCGUUAUCCGGAUUUACUGGGUGUAAAGGGAGCGCAGGCGGAAGGCUAAGUCUGAUGUGAAAGCCCGGGGCUCAACCCCGGUACUGCAUUGGAAACUGGUCAUCUAGAGUGUCGGAGGGGUAAGUGGAAUUCCUAGCGUAGCGGUGAAAUGCGUAGAUAUUAGGAGGAACACCAGUGGCGAAGGCGGCUUACUGGACGAUAACUGACGCUGAGGCUCGAAAGCGUGGGGAGCAAACAGGAUUAGAUACCCUGGUAGUCCACGCCGUAAACGA
rnacentral:rRNA from 1 species